CCUACGGGGNAUGNCNGUUAGUACGGCGAGUGAGCGGCAAAAGCUCAAAUUUGAAAUCUGGCACCUUCGGUGUCCGAGUUGUAAUUUGAAGAAGGUAACUUUGGAGUUGGCUCUUGUCUAUGUUCCUUGGAACAGGACGUCACAGAGGGUGAGAAUCCCGUGCGAUGAGAUGCCCAAUUCUAUGUAAAGUGCUUUCGAAGAGUCGAGUUGUUUGGGAAUGCAGCUCUAAGUGGGUGGUAAAUUCCAUCUAAAGCUAAAUAUUGGCGAGAGACCGAUAGCGAACAAGUACAGUGAUGGAAAGAUGAAAAGAACUUUGAAAAGAGAGUGAAAAAGUACGUGAAAUUGUUGAAAGGGAAGGGCUUGAGAUCAGACUUGGUAUUUUGCGAUCCUUUCCUUCUUGGUUGGGUUCCUCGCAGCUUACUGGGCCAGCAUCGGUUUGGAUGGUAGGAUAAUGACUAAGGAAUGUGGCUCUACUUCGGUGGAGUGUUAUAGCCUUGGUUGAUACUGCCUGUCUAGACCGAGGACUGCGUCUUUUGACUAGGAUGUUGGCAUAAUGAUCUUAAGCCACCCGUCUUGAAACACGGACCAAA
rnacentral:rRNA from 1 species